UAGUGGCGGACGGGUGAGUAACGCGUGAGGAUCUGCCCUUAGGACGGGGACAACAGUUGGAAACGACUGCUAAUACCCGAUGUGCCGGAAGGUGAAACAUUUAUGGCCUGAGGAUGAGCUCGCGUCUGAUUAGCUAGUUGGAGUGGUAACGGCACACCAAGGCGACGAUCAGUAGCUGGUCUGAGAGGAUGAUCAGCCACACUGGGACUGAGACACGGCCCAGACUCCUACGGGAGGCAGCAGUGGGGAAUUUUCCGCAAUGGGCGCAAGCCUGACGGAGCAAGACCGCGUGGGGGACGAAGGUUUGUGGAUUGUAAACCCCUUUUGAUUGGGAAGAAGUUCUGACGGUACCAAUCGAAUCAGCAUCGGCUAACUCCGUGCCAGCAGCCGCGGUAAUACGGAGGAUGCAAGCGUUAUCCGGAAUUAUUGGGCGUAAAGCGUCCGUAGGUGGCUAUUCAAGUCAGUUGUUAAAGCGUGGGGCUUAACUCCAUAAAGGCAAAUGAAACUGAUUGGCUAGAGUGCGAUAGGGGCAAGGGGAAUUUCCAGUGUAGCGGUGAAAUGCGUAGAUAUUGGAAAGAACACCGGUGGCGAAAGCGCCUUGCUGGGUCUGCACUGACACUGAGGGACGAAAGCUAGGGGAGCGAAAGGGAUUAGAUACCCCUGUAGUCCUAGCCGUAAACGAUGGAUACUAGGCGUUGUCCGUAUCGACCCGGACAGUGUCGUAGCUAACGCGUUAAGUAUCCCGCCUGGGGAGUACGCUCGCAAGAGUGAAACUCAAAGGAAUUGACGGGGGCCCGCACAAGCGGUGGAGUAUGUGGUUUAAUUCGAUGCAACGCGAAGAACCUUACCAGGGCUUGACAUGUCGCGAAUCUUCUUGAAAGGGAAGAGUGCCUUCGGGAGCGCGAACACAGGUGGUGCAUGGCUGUCGUCAGCUCGUGUCGUGAGAUGUUGGGUUAAGUCCCGCAACGAGCGCAACCCUCGUUUUUAGUUGCCAUCAUUUAGUUGGGCACUCUAGAGAGACUGCCGGUGACAAACCGGAGGAAGGUGGGGAUGACGUCAAGUCAGCAUGCCCCUUACGUCCUGGGCUACACACGUACUACAAUGCUACGGACAAAGGGUCGCAAGCUAGCAAUAGCAAGCCAAUCCCAUAAACCGUGGCUCAGUUCAGAUUGUAGGCUGCAACUCGCCUACAUGAAGGAGGAAUCGCUAGUAAUCGCAGGUCAGCAUACUGCGGUGAAUACGUUCCCGGGCCUUGUACACACCGCCCGUCACACCAUGGGAGUUGGCCACGCCCGAAGUCGUUACUCCAACCGUUCGCGGAGGAGGAUGCCGAAGGCAGGGCUGAUGACUGGGGUGAAGUCGUAACAAGGUAGCCGUACCGGAAGGUGUGGCUGGAUCACCUCCUUUUAGGGAGACCUACCUACUCGAGAUCUGAAAGCAUAAAGCGAUUAGGAAAAGAGUUGGUCAUCCCAAGGUCGUUCAGGAUAUAGGUGCUGUCUUCCAAGCUAUUAUGGUUCGGUUCGUGGGCUAUUAGCUCAGGUGGUUAGAGCGCACCCCUGAUAAGGGUGAGGUCCCUGGUUCGAGUCCAGGAUGGCCCACCUUUGUUUCAGCUUUCAUUAGUUGUUAUGUAAUGAGAGAGAUAUUGAGGGGGUUUAGCUCAGUUGGUAGAGCGCCUGCUUUGCAAGCAGGAUGUCAACGGUUCGAGUCCGUUAACCUCCACUGGUUUAUAGAAAAAGGGAUAGGGGUCAUAGCAACUCAUCUUGAGAGCAAGAGAGCCUGCUGUGACGUGAAGUCCAGCCAGAACCUUGAAAACUGCAUAGUAAUUUGUCAGGUAGGAAUCGAUUGACUUUUAAGUCAGUCGAUAAAUAUCACAGACACCAAUGUGGAUUGAUGUGCUACAUCAAGUGGUCAAGCUACAAAGGGCUGAUGGUGGAUACCUAGGCACACAGAGGCGAAGAAGGACGUGGUUACCGACGAUAUGCCCCGGGGAGUUGGAAGCAAGCAUUGAUCCGGGGGUUUCCGAAUGGGGCAACCCUAAACAUGGCUACCUGAAUCUAUAGGGUAGAACAAGCUAACGCAGCGAAUUGAAACAUCUUAGUAGCUGUAGGAAGAGAAAGAAAACUCGAUUCCCUUAGUAGCGGCGAGCGAAGCGGGAAGAGCCUAAACCAGUGGUUUUCACCACUGGGGUUGUGGGACAGCGACAUGGAAUCUAGCGGUUAGACGAAGCAGUUGAGUGCUGCAUCAGAGAAGGUGAGAAUCCUGUAGUCGAAAGCUUAAAGAUACUAGCUGAAUCCCGAGUAGGCCGGAGCACGUGGAAUUCCGGUUGAAUCAUCGAGGACCACCUCGAAAGGCUAAAUACUCCUGUGUGACCGAUAGUGAAAC
rnacentral:rRNA from 1 species